rnacentral:rRNA from 1 species
AGUGGCGGACGGGUGAGUAAUAUAUCGGAACGUGUCCAUUAAUGGGGGAUAACUAGCCGAAAGGUUGGCUAAUACCGCAUACGCCCUGAGGGGGAAAGCUGGGGAUCUUCGGACCUGGCGUUAAUGGAGCGGCCGAUAGCUGAUUAGCUAGUUGGUGGGGUAAAGGCCUACCAAGGCGACGAUCAGUAGCUGGUCUGAGAGGACGACCAGCCACACUGGGACUGAGACACGGCCCAGACUCCUACGGGAGGCAGCAGUGGGGAAUUUUGGACAAUGGGGGCAACCCUGAUCCAGCCAUUCCGCGUGAGUGAAGAAGGCCUUCGGGUUGUAAAGCUCUUUCGCAAGGGAAGAAAAGAUAUAGGUUAAUAGCCUAUGUUGCUGACGGUACCUUGAUAAGAAGCACCGGCUAACUACGUGCCAGCAGCCGCGGUAAUACGUAGGGUGCGAGCGUUAAUCGGAAUUACUGGGCGUAAAGCGUGCGCAGGCUGUUUGGCAAGUCAGAUGUGAAAUCCCCGAGCUCAACUUGGGAACUGCGUUUGAAACUGCCAGACUAGAAUAGGUCAGAGGGGGGUAGAAUUCCACGUGUAGCAGUGAAAUGCGUAGAGAUGUGGAGGAAUACCAAUGGCGAAGGCAGCCCCCUGGGAUCAUAUUGACGCUCAUGCACGAAGGCGUGGGGAGCGAACAGGAUUAGAUACCCUGG